rnacentral:rRNA from 1 species
GGGUGCGUAACGCGUAUGCAAUCUACCUUUCACAGAGGGAUAGCCCAGAGAAAUUUGGAUUAAUACCUCAUAGUAUAUAUGAAUGGCAUCAUUUAUAUAUUAAAGUCACAACGGUGAAAGAUGAGCAUGCGUCCCAUUAGCUAGUUGGUAAGGUAACGGCUUACCAAGGCAACGAUGGGUAGGGGUCCUGAGAGGGAGAUCCCCCACACUGGUACUGAGACACGGACCAGACUCCUACGGGAGGCAGCAGUGAGGAAUAUUGGACAAUGGGCGCAAGCCUGAUCCAGCCAUGCCGCGUGCAGGAUGACGGUCCUAUGGAUUGUAAACUGCUUUUAUACGAGAAGAAACCCUCCGACGUGUCGGAGCUUGACGGUAUCGUAAGAAUAAGGAUCGGCUAACUCCGUGCCAGCAGCCGCGGUAAUACGGAGGAUCCAAGCGUUAUCCGGAAUCAUUGGGUUUAAAGGGUCCGUAGGCGGUCAGGUAAGUCAGUGGUGAAAGCCCAUCGCUCAACGGUGGAACGGCCAUUGAUACUGUCUGACUUGAAUUAUUAGGAAGUAACUAGAAUAUGUAGUGUAGCGGUGAAAUGCUUAGAGAUUACAUGGAAUACCAAUUGC